rnacentral:hammerhead_ribozyme from 1 species
GUGCUGAUGAAGAGUCCCAAACUAGGACGAAACAUAAGUCCAGUAC